GAAGCGCGCCAGACCGCCGCUGGUGCAAUCUGGGAAACCAGGCACUGGAGGAACGUCCGGACUGCACAGGACAGCGUAGCAGCUAACGGCUGCCCACCGUGAGGUGAGGAUCAGAGCAACAGAGACGAGCCGAUUGAGUUCGGGUGAAACGGGCAAUCUCUACGCGCAGCAAUACCAAGUAGGCCAGCGUUGAUGUGGUUCCGCAGAGCUGGCGGGUAGGUAGCACCGAGCCGUGGUGGCGACACCCGGCCCAGAGUAAUGGCGGUCACGCCCGGGCAACCGGGUGCACAGAAUCCGGCUUAUCGGCGCGCUUCACAC
rnacentral:RNase_P_RNA from 2 species